rnacentral:rRNA from 1 species
GAUGAACGCUGGCGGCGUGCCUAACACAUGCAAGUCGAACGGGGAUUUUGUUUCGGCAGAAUCCUAGUGGCGAACGGGUGAGUAACGCGUAGGCAACCUGCCCUCCAGACGGGGACAACAUUCCGAAAGGGGUGCUAAUACCGGAUACGAAGGAGCCAUCGCAUGGUGGUUCUUUGAAAGAUGGCCUCUAUUUAUAAGCUAUCGCUGGGGGAUGGGCCUGCGUCCGAUUAGCUGGUUGGUGGGGUAACGGCCUACCAAGGCGACGAUCGGUAGCCGGUCUGAGAGGAUGAACGGCCACAUUGGGACUGAGACACGGCCCAGACUCC